rnacentral:misc_RNA from 1 species
UCGGACCAGCAUAUAUCCAUUUCUGCCACACUAUCAGGGUCAGACACUUCUAAGGUAUUCAAAACAGCUUUAGAAGCAUCAACAAUAUUGUCAAGGCAAGGAAUCAUGAUCAGAAUCACAUCACAUGGUGGAGUCACUCAUCCAAUGGAGGUGCUCAAUGAAGGGCCAAUGGCAAUCGAGGCAUCUUUAUCAGAUAAGGAAGUUCCGAUUCAAUAUGGAAGGGUUUAAUGAAGGAAUCUCUGUUGCUGAACCAAAUGUUUGGAUGAACGUUGCAAGUGAAAAGAAUGACUAUUCUGGAAAAGAAGUGCCUGAAAGAUUAUGCAGGAAACAAGCAUUGCAAGUCGACAAUGACGGUGAGCAAAUGGAAGCACCUCGACCCGAGUAAAUGUGGCUAGCUUCCUUUCUACUGCAGAAAUAAAGUAAUGAUGAAAUGCAGAAAGAAGAUGAUAUGGAUUAUCGCCUCCAGCAGCUUUUCAGAGGUGUUUAUUCUCCCAGUAAAAAUAUGUGCAAAAUGGAGUAUAGGAUAACUGAAGCCAGCCAACAGUGUUUAUCUCCAUUUUUGGUUCAAAUCUCUCAUGUAAAAUUGCAAGCACCUUCUCUACAAUUCUUUUGUCUAUUAACUCAUCCCCCAUCAAUCACUUUCAUUAACCACCUUCAUAAAAUAUGUUAGAAUCUUUCUGUCUCAGUAUCUCUCAUACUUAGAACUUCAAAAUCUCCUAAGAUUUAGUCUGCAUAUGCCUGGUUUUGUCCCUUCCAAAAAAGCUCCUCCUUGAGCUCAUCCCAGGCCUCCUUAGCUGAUUCACAAGCCAUAAUUCUUGGACACAGCAGAAUGUAUGGAGGUUAAAGCCUUGAACCUUUUUGCACAUUGCUUACUAUGCAUUUUGAUUUGAGCAACAGAAGGAUUAUCAGGCAAAGGCGGAGGUGCCCUGCCUGUCUCAACAAAAUCCCAUUGAUCAAAAGCCUUGAGAUAAGCUUUCAUUUUCACUGCCCGCAUUUGGUAAUUUUGUCCUGAGAAAAUAGGAGGUGAAGGAGGUAUGAAGCAGCUGGAAGCCAUUGACUGUCAGUGUUUAAGGAUUUUGUAGCGAUGGUUUUUCUCCCUUGUUUUUCUUUCGCAGCCCCUUUAAAGACCAGAGAAGCUCUGAUACUAGUUGUUGACUUUAGAGCUCAAGAAACAUAGAAAAAUGGCUAUUGGGAGAGGCAACUUCCUUUCAUCCACAAAACUUUUUAUAUCAGAUCAUAAAAUCAGUAAACAUUGCUUUUCACCUACUAAAAGCAGUAAUUAUGUUUCAGGCAUCACUACUGGUGGAUGAGGUUCUGUUCCUGACUUCUUGUACUUGUAUGUUUGAUGAAUAAUUUAAGCAUGUCUCACAUCUGCAAGGCAAAAUGGUGAACAAAUAGAUGUCUGUUUUGAAAUUUCUAAUUGGUUAUUUUUGGAAUUCGUAACAAGAAUGAAACGGGAAACGUUAUAU